UUAAAAGUAAAUGUGAUGAGUUUUUUUUUUUUUUUUCAGUUUGCAGGUUAUGGUAGACUGUCCCUCGUGCUCGCCAGCACCACAAAAUGGCUUCCUGUGUGCAGAAGGGCCUACUGACUACAGUAUGCGGAGAGAACUGGAGGAAUGUGACUACAAACGCAUGCGAUGCAAGUGGGCUUGACGGCCCUGGUGCCUGGCUCCUGCUCUAGAGAAUGAACACAGACCAUUGCAAUGGAUCAGAGCACUUCAGAGCCCCCAACAGGAUAUUCUGAAGCAUCCAGCACAAAGAAUCUCUUGCAGUGGAAGCAUGUGGUGAUCCUUGCAACUCUGAAGCCCUCACACCAGGUUGUUUUUGAUGGCCUUCUGAAAGCAUCACAGAUAUGCCCAUUUGGCUGGUGCAUCUGUCUAUUGGAGGAGGUGAAUGAGUCUGCUUGGCUGGUACAAAUGUGUCUGUAGGAUGUCUCAAGCACACCUGUGAUUUAUUUUUUUUGGCUUCAUCCAGAUUUGAUCAUUGAUGGCCUUUUGAAAGCAUCACAGAUAUGUCCACUUGGCUGGUGCAUCUGCCUGUAUUGGCAGAGGAGGUAAAUGAGUCUGACUGGCUAGUACAAAUGCAUCUUUAGCAGAGGAGGUAAAUGAGUCUGACUGGCUAGUACAAAUGCAUCUUUAGGAAGCCUCGUGCUCGUGUGUGUAAUUUUGGAUUCUUCACCCAAAUUUGGGAAGCAGUGCAUCCUAUUUUUUAUACCUCUGCCCAAGACUUGCCUGUAACCUGUGGUCUGACGCACACACGAGAGCAGCACUGAGUUGAGAUGAAUAAUCACACAUGUUCAUAUUGUGCACGCUGAGUCUUGGUUGGUGGGUUUACACCAACUUCAAUAAAUCCAAUAACCACGAGACUGUUUUAUUUGUAUUUCUCAAACCUUAAGCUUGGCCCUGCUUGAAUAGCAAGCAUGUGCUCAUUGUUGAAUUACUAGAAUCCAGGGCUGUUCUACUUAAGCUACCAUUUAGUGUAUGGAAAUGUUGGCUUUUGAGGCUGCAUUUUAAACUUAUGGAGUAUUGUAUUGUGACAGUUGCCAUUAGUUGAGAAUUAGUUUGCUUGAACAAAAACUUGACACUAGAUUUUCUCUGUACCUAUGCCUGUUUUUGGUGUGUUUCUCUUUUGAAAAGUCCUGGAAGAAACUACUGCUUUAUUUUUUUGUAUUAAAUGUCUGCCAAAUCUCA